GCAUAUGCUGUCUCAAAGAUUAAGCCAUGCAAGUCUAAGUACACACGGCCGGUACAGUGAAACUGCGAAUGGCUCAUUAAAUCAGUUAUGGUUCCUUUGAUCGCUCUAACGUUACUUGGAUAACUGUGGCAAUUCUAGAGCUAAUACAUGCCAACGAGCGCUGACCUCCGGGGAUGCGUGCAUUUAUCAGACCCAAAACCCAUGCGGGGUGCCCCUCGGGACGCCCCGGCCGCUUUGGUGACUCUAGAUAACCUCGAGCCGAUCGCUGGCCCUCGUGGCGGCGACGUCUCAUUCGAAUGUCUGCCCUAUCAACUUUCGAUGGUACUUUCUGUGCCUACCAUGGUGACCACGGGUAACGGGGAAUCAGGGUUCGAUUCCGGAGAGGGAGCCUGAGAAACGGCUACCACAUCCAAGGAAGGCAGCAGGCGCGCAAAUUACCCACUCCCGACUCGGGGAGGUAGUGACGAAAAAUAACAAUACAGGACUCUUUCGAGGCCCUGUAAUUGGAAUGAGUACACUUUAAAUCCUUUAACGANGAUCAAUUGGANGGCAAGUCUGGUGCCAGCAGCCGCGGUAAUUNCAGCUUCCAUAACGUAUCUUAAAAGUUGCUGCAANUUAAAAAACUUCGUANUUGGAAUCUCGGGAUCCAACUUGACGGUCCCNCCNCCAAGGGGAA
rnacentral:rRNA from 1 species